rnacentral:lncRNA from 1 species
GAAGCUGCCGUGAAAUCAGGAAGCUGAGCGCGCCGGGCCCCGGAUCCGAACAGAAAAGGCUUCCACCCGCUCCCCUGAGGGAUCCCACGCUGAGGGACUGAACCCCGCACCCCAGCCGCGCUCACCACCCCCACCCUCUCGCCUGGGCUGCUCUGACCUGGGGUUCACUUUCUGAAGAUGAUUCUGAAGAAGAGGAGGAAUUGGAAGAGGAAUCCGAGCCUUCUGAAUGAAUUCCAGAACUGCCACUCAAAGUGCCCUAUGAGGAGCUGUGGUAACAAGGUAAAAGGCAGGAGCCAUCCUUUGGAAGCCAUCAGCAAGCUCUGUGACCAUCAGAGCUAUUAUCUGUGAUCAUAUACAUAACCUGAAGAUAGCAUAUCAUACUUUUUUUUAAUACUUUCAACUCCAAAAGGCUUUGGGCUUGUAAAAACAUAGUUUCAAAGAUUUUUAUUUUAUCAGCCACCAUCUCCAUUUUUACCUAUCCUUCCCAUAAAUGCAAGGAUAUGUUUUAGUUCUGAAACAUGAAAGUUAAUUUGAUUUUAUCCUGCAACUCUUGAGAACUGAUCUUUCUAGCCAGCAUAAAGAAAGUAUACUGACACAAAAAUCUUCAGAAAAAAUAUAGGAGGAUUAAAUACUCAAUUACUUCCAGGAUUGCUUACUC